rnacentral:lncRNA from 1 species
CUGGAGUUUACAACCAGCCUGCGGGACCCCAGAAUCCACAUAGUGAAGAGAGAGCACUGAUUCCCAACGUGUGACCUCUGACCUCCCCUGUUCCUGAUGUCUGAGAGCACACGUGCUAAAAGAAUGUAAUUAUCCUUUUAUUUCUUUGUUUGUUUCAGAGACUGGGUCUCUCUCUAUGUGGCCCUGGCUGUCCUUAAACUCACAGAGAUCCUCCUGCCUCUGCUUCUCACAGUGCUAAGACUAAAGGCGUGGUUCUGACCUUGCCUACAUUAAAAAAAAAAAAAAAAAAAAAAAAAAAAAACCUGCUGGGUGUAACUCAGUGAUAGAGCGCUUAGUUACCUUACCCAAGGUGCUACAGUGAAUCCACAUGUGACAAACGUCCCAAAUAUAGAGCCCUGUGUAAGCAGCUCCCCGUUAGUCAGUACCCCACAAACCUGUGUGAAUGACACCCACAAGUCAGGAAUUUGGGGGGGCUGAUGAGAUGGCUAGAGGGGAAAAGCACUUCUGAGGAAGCCUGGGUACUGGAGUUGGCUCAUUGUAUCCCUCGGAAGAAGGAAACGACCAACUCCUAAAGUUAUCCUCUGACCUCCAUACGGAAUGCAGCGACACAGGCACACACCCAAAACACUCGGUAAUAAAUAACAUACUUGAAAAAGAAAUGUAAUGACUCACAUAGACAAUGCAUGCCUUCCUCAGAGUCAUGUACACCACCGUAUGCAUACAUAACUGCACGUUUCACAUGUACUCAUGCAGUUCCGGGAGACAUGUGGACCCAGCCACGCCCACACUUUUGUAGAUGGCUUUCCAAAUUGUCUGUCUACACACACACACACACACACACACACACACACACACACACACACACACACGAGAUACACAGCACACAGAUUCGCACACAGCCAUUCCCAGACUAUCACCAACACUCCCAAAG